UACGGGGGGGAGCAAGCGUUGUUCGGAUUUACUGGGCGUAAAGGGCGCGUAGGCGGCGUGACAAGUCACUUGUGAAAUCUCCGGGCUUAACUCGGAACGGUCAAGUGAUACUGUCGUGCUAGAGUACAGAAGGGGCAACUGGAAUUCUCGGUGUAGCGGCGAAAUGCGUAGAUAUCGAGAGGAACACCUGCGGCGAAGGCGGGUUGCUGGGCUGAUACUGACGCUGAGGCGCGAAAGCUAGGGGAGCGAACGGG
rnacentral:rRNA from 1 species